rnacentral:rRNA from 1 species
GACGAACGCUGGCGGCGUGCUUAACACAUGCAAGUCGAACGGAAAGGCCCUGCUUUUGUGGGGUGCUCGAGUGGCGAACGGGUGAGUAACACGUGAGUAACCUGCCCUUGACUUUGGGAUAACUUCAGGAAACUGGGGCUAAUACCGGAUAGGAGCUCCUGCUGCAUGGUGGGGGUUGGAAAGUUUCGGCGGUUGGGGAUGGACUCGCGGCUUAUCAGCUUGUUGGUGGGGUAGUGGCUUACCAAGGCUUUGACGGGUAGUCGGCCUGAGAGGGUGACCGGCCACAUUGGGGCUGAGAUACGGCCCAGACUCCUGCGGGAGGCAGCAGUGGGGAAUAUUGCACAAUGGGCGGAAGCCUGAUGCAGCAACGCCGCGUGCGGGAUGACGGCCUUCGGGUUGUAAACCGCUUUCGCCUGUGACGAAGCGUGAGUGACGGUAAUGGGUAAAGAAGCACCGGCUAACUACGUG